GCGGAGAAGGAAGGGGGACCGGGGCGGGGCGUUUGCGGUUCAAAGAGGCGGGAGCUGGUGCUGGCAGGAACACUCGCUGAAGGUUGAAAAGAGGCCGGGAGCAGAGUGGCACUUCCGUGAACGGUGCUCAGCCAACCCGCCAGAUAGACGGUUCAGGAGAAACUGAACAUCAGUAAGAGGCGCCCAAGAGGCUGAUGUGUGUUCAGGUAACCGGCCAGUCUGCCAGAUGUCCUCACCCAGCUCACAGCUAAAAGGACCGGUUAAGUGCGGAGGCUGUCUACACCAGGGGAAGCCAGCUUGUGAAGCAGCCCUGUGAAGAGAUGGCUAUGCCAAGAGACCAAACCCUGCCAACCACCACAUGUGUGAACUUGGAAGUGCAUCCAUGACCCUGAGCCCCCCCAAAUCAACCUUCAGAUGAGACCCAAAUCUUGACUGAGAGGUUGACUGCAACCUCCUGAGAGACUUGGAUCCAGAGGCUCCCAACUAAGCACCCCCGGAUUCCUAACACACUGAGACCGUGAGAUAAUAAAUCCACACUUGUGGUAACCUUAGAAUUCAAGAGAUGGUCAUUGUCCCAAAUCUAUGGUUUAGUACUUGGCCUGACAAUGGUGGAGGAGACUGACAUCAGCAGAUGGUGUGGGCCUGUCCAGCCUGGUUGAUUCCGGCAUCCAUGGGGGAUACUUGUCUAUGACGGAUGCUUGCCUAUGGGGGACAAGUGCCUUGCUGCCUGGCCCUCUCUCCCUCCCUGCCUUACAAACAGUGAUGGAUUCUGAUUCCAGGAGUUGUUCUAGAGCCUGUGGACCCUGGAGUUGAACUAGAACAGACAAGGUUCCUGCUCUUCAGGGACGUUCAAAUGGUCCAGUGGAGGAGAUGGGAGCUGGGAAAAACAGCACACAGCCCCAGGAAGGUGGGGCAGGAGGUUAACUUGCUUCUUUAUCAGCAGAUAGGCAAAGCAUUGUGACUCAUAUCAGAAAAGAAGCCUGGCAAACACAAAAGGAAAUAGUCUGGGGAAAGCUGAUGAGCCCACAGUUGGAAUUCUGCAUUGGAAUUUAGAAACAUAAGCACCUGGCUGCUGAAAACAUUGGAAAGAGUCCAGGGAAAAGCAAUGUUCUUCCAGGAGGUGCCUGUUUCCAGGAUGUGUCAAUUGCUCUGGUGUGGGGAGUGCUGGUGUAUAGAACCCUGCACAGGGAUGUCCAAAAUCUACCCCUAGUCUGGGUGAAGAAGACAGAGAUGCAUGGGAAGAAAAGGAGCUGAACUUUUGCACUGGACCAAUGGAAGUUAUACCCGUCAGGAAACCUUGGGCUAUAAGGAACAGGCAGUUAACAUGGUUCAUUACCCUUUAGAAAGAGGUUCUGAGAUGCACCAGUAUCAGGACUGGUUUAAGUCAACAGCUCAACAAAAUCAUCUAGGACUCAAUUUCUUUUUUAAAUUUUUAAAUAAUUUUGGCUGUGCC